rnacentral:rRNA from 1 species
GCUUGUGGCCAUACCACCCUGAACACACCUGUUCAGGGUCGGGCCUGGUUGGUACUGGGACAGGACACCGCCUGAGAAUACCAGGUUCCGUAAGCA